GUUUGGGAAGUAGCAAUCUCAGUGCCUGUGGAGUCAGGGAGAACGGAGGGCGGGUCUGUGAGGAGGCCCUGGUGAGGACGAUGCUCGAGUCAGCCCCCUGGGGCUGCCCUGAAGCAGGAGGCUGUGGAGGGAAUCGAGGCUGAUGAGGAGGGUGCCGCCUGCACGUGGGCCCCGGGUCGAGAGAGGGAGCACAAUCUGGGAUGAAGACGGAUGAGAACAGAGGGUGAUUCUGAGAGUCCGAAUGAGAGGAGGACCCAGUUCUGGAGGCUGGGAAGCCCAAGAUCGAGGUGCUGGCAGAUUCAGUGCCUGGUGAGAGCCUGCUUCCUGGCUCAUUGAUGGCCAUCUUCUCGCUGUGUCAUCACAUGGCAGAAAGGAGCAAGCCAUUUUGAACAAAAAGCCUUGAAAAUGUGAAAGUUCCUCCCCGAGGGCUCCUUCUGCAUGGCACAGACCUUUCAUCACCAACCCAACUUGUAAUCUUGGGUCAAAGAAGGUUCUCAGCUCAUUUUCAAGGAGGAAAAAAAGCAAAGCAAAACAGCCACAUCAUGCAGUUGCUCCACGUCAGGAGGCUUGCCCUGUUGGGUUGCCAUUACUCUGGGCUCCAUCCAGGAGGGCCUGGGCUGCCCACUGGCCUCCCACCUCAUUCCUGGCCAACUGGGGCUGGAGUUAGCAGCUGGACUGCCCAGGAGGCCACCAGCAGGCUCUGAGGAGAAGGCUGCUUAGAAAUUCGCUUAGAGAUUCUUGGCAGGACAGUGGCAGCCAAGGGCAGGGAGAACAGUCAUGUCAGACCCACCACAUCAGCUACCCGCUGCGACACUCCUAUUUCAGGUUUCUGCUCAAACUGCUCCUACCCCAGCCUUCCCCUGGGAUUCCUUGAUUACUUCUCUUGGCUCAUCUAAAUCUUGCCCACCUUUGACAGCCAGCACACGUUCCACCUCCCAGGACCAUGGUGCCCCCAUACCCCACAGUUACUCAUUCAAGAGUUUAUUGGCCACUUUUUCAGGGCCAGGCCAAAGACAAACAAGACUUGGUCUCUGCUCUUCCCCACGAUAGGGAAGGCAGAUGGGGAACAAUUACGAGCCAGCGUGCAAAGCACCUGUAACAAUUUGUACUGAUUUUCAGGGUGCCAUGUGCUUCUCUCUCCUCAGUCAGCAAGGUGGCUUAUUUCCUGUUUGAGGGUAGACUGGUUGUCUUUGCUUUUCAAGUCAAAUGGGAAUAAGAAUAAUACCUAUCUCAUGGAGCUAUUGUGAGGAUUUGACGAGACUAUCUAUGUAAAGUGCUUAGGAAGUUCCGGGCACAUGGGAAGUACUAGAAAAGAGUUAGCUAUUAUUAUCUUGCAUAACAAUUUUUAUUGUUCUCCCUGCAUAUGUCAGAACAUGGCAUCCCAGGCCUAGCCUUCUAAGACUCCUCAGUCAUCCCUCAGAAGGGACUGACUAAAGGGACCCAUUCUUUUGGGGGACAUCUGAAUACCUAGCUGAGUCAGGGGUUCCCUCGUGGCUCUGAGGAAGGGGUACAGGCCGGGAAGACAUCCCAGAUGGACUCUAUUAAAGUCUCCAUUUUUCAAACGGUUCCAGUGCCAACAGCCUCCUGAAGGGAAACUUGUGGUUGCUGUGCAAACUACUUGGAGCCCCUCCUAAGAAAGGCCGUCUCACCUCACCUCACCCAGACACAGGCGACGGCGGAGCCUGAGAAACACAGUUCUGACCAGGAGACAAAUUCAUGAUCACAACCACGUCUGCAAAUAAGAGAGCAUGGACUCUAUGGUCCUGGAGGGACAUAAAAUCCUGGAGCUGGGUGGUCUCCAUCAUCUGUCCCCACACCACUGCCCCUCUCCUGCGGCUUUUCCUUCAUUGGGCCUCCACAUCAUUCAUCUUGAGGGAGAGGCUGCUCCGGGCUCUGCAUCCAUUCUCAGGAUGUCAGCCAUGUGGACUCUUCAGAGAAGACCUGGGUGGGACAGUCUGAUCGAAUGACGUCCAAGUGACAAGACACAUUACAUCAUCAUGGAGAGGAACUGAAGUGGUUUCAAGAGGGAAACUGACGUCAUGGUCUUUAUAAGCAGCUUGGGGAUGGCAGUAAUGAAGGGGAGGGAGGUCGUUGGUGGAGCAAGGAUCAGGAAAUGAAAAACUGGUUCUCCUUAGAAGAGGAAAAAGGAGAACAAUCUUAAGGCAAAAAAGGAGCUAUUUUUCUUUAAGAGGCCACAUUCAUUUUUCAAAGGUGAUUUUCUUUGGUGCUAAGGAAAUAAUUCUUAAAGGUUUUUAGAAACUGUUACACAACAGCUUCUUCCUAAAGGCUGAAUGACAGACACUUGAGAAAACUUCCUAGCAGAGCAGGCUCCACUGAAGUGUACUCAGCACUCUCAUUCCGCAGGAGGAACAUUCUCACUUCAGGAGGCUCACACUGAUCUCAUUUCGGUCCUUAGCAGGAGGGAGCUGGGGAACGCCAAAGGUCUUUCACUAGAGCUUCCCCAUGGGCUGCCAUGCUGUCCAGUGGGGUGCAGACCAGCCUGCUUCUGCAGGAGAGUGAAGUAGCUUCCAAUAAGGUUGUGGCCUCUCGGGGGUGUAAGUUGUCUUUCGAAAGGCCCACAGUGCGGGGCAAGAGUUCUAUUGCAAACUGAACUAGAAAUAAAAUAACCUGAUUUGCUCACUUCACCAGAGACAUGGCCCAGGGCCUGUGCGGUAGGUGUCCAAUGCUGAGAGGCCUUGUCCUCAGGCAGAAGACCUUCCAUCAUGGCUAGGGAAUCACCUUCCAGACAUGCAUACUGCACCUGCCUCAGUAACCCAGACAUCGGAAAGGCAGAGCUUCCAUAAGACGGAGGGCAAAAUACAAGUGGAAAUCUGAUGUCUCUAAGAAAGCGACACUGAAGAGAACCAAGCCGCUGCCAUCCACACCUAACAAAACCUUCAGGGAGUGCUCUUGAGAGGACCAAGAGGCCAAAUACGUAGCCCAAGGAUGUCACUCCUGAUGUGUCCAUGUCUUGUGCCUUCCUCUCCCACACCCAGGCCUCCGCUUGGGUGAUGCUCCAAGCUGCUAACGCCCCCACCCCCUUCUACCGCCUCUCCCCCAUCACAGCCCCCGUCUGCGGACGUUCAUCUCAGCUGGGGCAAGGAGGAAAGCACGUGAAUGAAGGAAUUCAAAGCAAGAUGUGCAUGAUGGAUAGCCUCUCAGGGCUAUUUGUAUUCGAAAAGAGAAGCCCCUCUCGCUGAGAAACACACUCUAAAGACAGACUUCAGAUGUUAGGAGGCGAGGAGCCAGGCCAGCUGUGUGGAGCUGUAUUCCCGCCAAGUAACUGAAUGUCGGCUUUCAGGCGGUUUUGUGGAGCUGCUACAAUCUUCCACCUCUGCAGAGAGCAUUCCCGUUCCUUCCAGUUUCCACGAAAGGUCAUAGAGAGAGAAAAAGAGAUUCUUUAGUUCGGGCACUACGUAUUGAAUACCAAAUCUUUGUACUUGAGCCUGCAAUGUAUGGACAAGUAUAUUCUAUCAGCCUGGAAAAGAGUUGUUCAAAAGCAUUGGGGACUUAAAAGACACUUUUCAGAUAAAGACCCUUUUCUUUGUCAGCUGCGAAAUAAAUAGCUGUAUUUUCCAGCCCGUGUGUCCAUUAACCAAGUCCUGCGCCAUCCUGGGUACCCCUUGUCAUCUGCCCUUUUUAUUCUUUGUGGAUAGCACCCUGGAAUCUGAGCAUCCUGGCUUGCUGCAGACCCUCGGAUUCCUCAUCAGCCCCGGGCUCUGCGGAAACCGCCCUCAGGAGACAGGGCCAAGGCUGGCCAACAGGCUGCUGCGCGUUGCCAUUCGACUUCCACUGGGCCCGCAAGUGCUCCUUUCUGGGCCAGUGUUUUCAGGGCUGAAUUUCAUACGGGCCAGAAUCUUCUGCAACAGGAAAUGGACCAACUAGCUUUGCUGAGACUCACUCUAUUCCUGGAGUCCCGAUGAAGGGAAACUUUGGAAUUAGUGCCGGAAUGAAGAAAUGGUCAGUUUCAUUAAGUUAGCAUCAGUAUUUAUUAAAAUAAAUAUAAUGCAUUUGAAAAUCCACCUUUAAUGUCCUGAGUAAAUACACUUAUUUUCCUUGUUUCAAUUAAUAAGGCUUCAUGUAUGGUGUCAUGAGACCAAUUACACAAAGUACUCUUGACAGGCUCAUUAUUUUCUUGCCACAUUCUGGCCUACAUAAGAGACAAACUUGCUUUGGGAUGUUCAGACAGACGUUCUUCCCUUUCAUUUCCAGGUCAGACUCUAGCUACCAUCACUAAUGCUUCAGUGUUGCAUGUAAUUUUAAUAAAGCCUUGUCUUCUGAAAUUCCUCUGGGGUCACACUCACCAUCUUUGGAGUCAGAGUUUAUUGACAAAUGCUCUGAUUGUGCCUUUAGGGAAAGAGCUGGCAGCUCAAAAGCACUUUCACUGCAACCUGUGAGAAGAGGGAAGACUCAAGGUGACACCGGCACCUGCCGAAAGGGAGGACCACGCAUUGUGGCUCAUGUUCCUUAGAGUUGACGUGUCUCUUGAUGGGAUUUCUUAGAGCAGAAUGUGAUUUUCUCGCCACCCUCCAGAUCCAAAUCACCUUAUAAGAGUGUUACACCUUGCUCUGAGAGACCAAAUACCACAGGCACUACUCAAUUUUAAAAUUAUGUAACCCUUGCGUUCCAAAGCCAAGGUGUACGGCUGUGCAAGAACAGACACGGUCUCUGUUUGAAGGGGAAAGCCCCAGACGGCACUUAUCUCCAAAAAGAGUGUCAAAUCAUUCCCAGCUUGAGAGGUUUGCUUGACAAGCAUUUUUUCCCCUCUGGAGGAGAUUUUUGUUUACAGGAAUUAACAAUUAAAAAAACCCCACAUACACAAUUGCACAUUGUUCAGCCAUGGCGCAAAGGUCAGCUCUCAGGACACAGUAAUUUUCCAAUUCCUGAUCCUUUUUGAUCCCACUGUGCAGAUCAGCAGAUAAGGAAUUUUAUUUUAAGGCAGCAAAGUGCAAAGUAGGAGACAAUGGGCAGAAAGCUGUGACUUAUUAUCCAGUAGAAAUAUCUGUCUAGCUGAUGGGGGAAAGCCCCUCUUGUCCAAUUCUAAUGACGUUCACGUGAUGUUUAGAAUGCAUUUUCAGCCAGUAAUACUAUUUUGAUAGGGCAAUUGAUACAGGUGCCAAAGUCCUCUGCACAAUAGAGACUAACGUGUGUGGGGUUCUAGAGACAAAAAUACAUUGAAAUGAUGUGGUUCUUGUAAGACAUAUGAGGGACAAAGUCAAUUUGCUGUAUGAGACAUAGGAACACAGGACAUCAGUGUUAGAGACCAUUU
ensembl:lncRNA